CCUGCUUCGGCUCGCGCAGGGUGCACACACCCACUGACCUGUGCCCACUGUCUGGCACUCCCUAGAUAGAUGAACCCGGUACCUCAGAUGGAAAUGCAGAAAUCACCCUUCUUCUGUGUCGCUCAGGCUGGGAGCUGUAGACCGGAGCUGUUCCUAUUCGGCCAUCUUGGCUCCUCCCCCACCCCCGUAUUAUCUUAAAAAUUAGAUUGUUUUCUGCUGGUUGCUUUCUGAAAUUCUACUGGACCUAAUGCCAUUGGAAAUGGAUGGGGAGAAGGCCUGAUGAAAAUUACUGAGGAAGCCUCUUAGCCUAUGUGCUCUGAGAGUAGUGACACCUAGCAGUCGUUAAGACCACUUAAAUUAUCCUAAGACAAUGGAUGUGAACAGGCACUUUUCAAAAGAAGACAUACAUGCAGCCAACAAUCAAAUGAAAAAAAGCUCUACAUUACUGAUCAUUAGAGAAAUGCAAAUCAAAACCACACAAAAGAUGAUCAAGAGGAGCAUGAAAAAAUCCCCUGAAUCCAUUGGCUUUCUUCCCUAUACUGACAACAGUUUACUUGUGUAAGAGAUGCAUGCCUCGACUCCGGACCCCUUCUUUCAUCUGCAAAAUCAGCAGCACCCUCACAUCAUCUCCUGUAACAAACUCUCUCUGUCUCCUCCAUAUAAGGUCACUGAUGGUUACAUUUAGGGUCCAUGAUAUAAGUCAAGUUGGUGUGUAUCUGCAAAGGCGAUGGAAAGGAGUUCUUACAUAUGCAUAUUCUGAAGAAGGAUGUUACCCUUACUGAAAAACUUAUUCCAAGAUAUGUUUAAUCAAUCAUGAGAAAAAUAAAGAGACAUCCUUAUGAAUGGAGAAUAAAGUCCUCAGGGUUUUUUUCUAAUUCCCCAUGUGAAUGAAGAGCUGUGUUAUUCUAAAUAUAGUGUUUGUCAUAAGGCAAUUGUGUUGGUUUGAGUCCUUAGUCGCUGUGACACUGAUAGAAUUCCUAUCUCCAAUUGGAAGGUAAGUUGACCUUGCCUCACUUUUGGGCAUUUACAAAGUAAAAGUGUCUUCAUAUUCCAG
rnacentral:lncRNA from 10 species